ACGAAAUGUAUAAACCACACAAAAGCACGCAAAAUAAUCAAACAAUAAACAAAAACAAAACAAAAUGUAAAGUCCAGUCCAAUUAUUACAACCCGAAAUAAAAAGGGACUGAAAGUAAACCUACGCUAAUCCUGAACUAAUGCUCUACCUGACGCCUCGGGUCUUCACCACGAACAUCCUCCGGGUACAUAAUACCUCGGGGCAUUUCCCGGUGAAUAAAUAUAUACAGAUACUUCGGGGCAUUCCCCGGCCAAAUGAAUAUAUUUUUUAGUGCGAGAAAAUCAAAUUAUUCAACAAAAUUUCAAACAUUCCAUGAAAUUUCCAACAUUCAACCAAAGCCGUCAAUUCUAAACAUUCCACGAAAACACUUGUUCCUAAAUUCGUCUACACAGCCUAUAUUCGCCUAUCCAAUUAGCAACCUAAAACAGUGAUACUAUCAAGUUUACCAACGUUAUUCAUGCUUAUUCCAAGUUGAACAAAAGUAACAAUAAAACCAUCAUUAACCAAAUUCAUCAUUUUAUCAAUCUCGUAAUUCCACCCCAACUUUCCUUUUAUCAAACCAUUAAACAUGAUAAAACUCAUUCCUCAAAACAACAUAACCGAAUCACAAAC
rnacentral:lncRNA from 1 species